UACGGAGGGUGCAAGCGUUAUCCGGAUUCACUGGGUUUAAAGGGUGUGUAGGCGGGCUGUUAAGUCAGUGGUGAAAUCUCCGGGCUCAACCCGGAAACUGCCAUUGAUACUAUCAGUCUUGAAUAUCGUUGAGGUUGGCGGAAUAUAUCAUGUAGCGGUGAAAUGCUUAGAUAUGAUAUAGAACACCGAUUGCGAAGGCAGCUAACUAAGCGAUGAUUGACGCUGAGGCACGAAAGCGUGGGGAUCAAACAGG
rnacentral:ncRNA from 2 species